GACGAACGCUGGCGGCGUGCUAAACACAUGCAAGUUGAACGGAAAGGCCCUGCUUUUGUGGGGUGCUCGAGUGGCGAACGGGUGAGUAACACGUGAGUAACCUGCCCUUGACUUUGGGAUAACUUCAGGAAACUGGGGCUAAUACCGGAUAGGAGCUCCUGCUGCAUGGUGGGGGUUGGAAAGUUUCGGCGGUUGGGGAUGGACUCGCGGCUUAUCAGCUUGUUGGUGGGGUAGUGGCUUACCAAGGCUUUGACGGGUAGCCGGCCUGAGAGGGUGACCGGCCACAUUGGGACUGAGAUACGGCCCAGACUCCUACGGGAGGCAGCAGUGGGGAAUAUUGCACAAUGGGCGGAAGCCUGAUGCAGCAACGCCGCGUGCGGGAUGACGGCCUUCGGGUUGUAAACCGCUUUCGCCUGUGACGAAGCGUGAGUGACGGUAAUGGGUAAAGAAGCACCGGCUAACUACGUG
rnacentral:rRNA from 1 species